rnacentral:rRNA from 1 species
CCUACGGGCGGCUGCAGUGGGGAAUAUUGCACAAUGGGCGCAAGCCUGAUGCAGCCAUGCCGCGUGUGUGAAGAAGGCCUUCGGGUUGUAAAGCACUUUCAGCGGGGAGGAAGGCGUUAAGGUUAAUAACCUUGGCGAUUGACGUUACCCGCAGAAGAAGCACCGGCUAACUCCGUGCCAGCAGCCGCGGUAAUACGGAGGGUGCAAGCGUUAAUCGGAAUUACUGGGCGCAAAGCGCACGCAGGCGGUCUGUCAAGUCGGAUGUGAAAUCCCCGGGCUCAACCUGGGAACUGCAUUCGAAACUGGCAGGCUAGAGUCUUGUAGAGGGGGGUAGAAUUCCAGGUGUAGCGGUGAAAUGCGUAGAGAUCUGGAGGAAUACCGGUGGCGAAGGCGGCCCCCUGGACAAAGACUGACGCUCAGGUGCGAAAGCGUGGGGAGCAAACAGGAUUAGAUACCCGUGUAGUC